CAACUAUACUGUGAAACUGCGAAUGGCUCAUUAAAUCAGUUAUCGUUUAUUUGAUCAUAACCUUCUACAUGGAAUACCUGUGGAAAAUCUAGAGCUAAUACAUGCUAAAGCCCCAACUUCGGAAGGGGUGUGUUUAUUAGAUAAAAAGCCAAUGCCCUUCGGGGCUCCUUGGUGAUUCAUGAUAACCUUUCUGAUCGCAAAGUGGCCUUUGCGCCUGCGACGGUUCAUUCAAAUUUCUGCCCUAUCAACUUUCGAUGGUACGGUAGUGGCCUACCAUGGUGUCAACGGGUAACGGGGAAUUAGGGUUCGAUUCCGGAGAGGGAGCCUGAGAAACGGCUACCACAUCCAAGGAAGGCAGCAGGCGCGCAAAUUACACAAUGUCGACUCGACGAUGUAGUGACAAUAAAUACUGAUACAGGGCUCUUUUGGGUCUUGUAAUUGGAAUGAGUACAAUUUAAACCUCUUAACGAGGAACAAUUAGAGGGCAAGUCUGGUGCCAGCAGCCGCGGUAAUUCCAGCUCUAAUAGCGUAUAUUAAAGUUGUUGCAGUUAAAAAGCUCGUAGUUGAACCUUUGGCUUGGCGAGCACGUCCGCCUCACCGCGUGCACGUGACCCGCCGAGCCUUUUCUUCUGGAGAACCGCAUGCCCUUCACUGGGUGUGUUGGGGACCAGGACUUUUACUUUGAAAAAAUUAGAGUGUUCAAAGCAGGCCUUUGCUCGAAUACGUUAGCAUGGAAUAAUGGAAUAGGACGUGCGGUCCUAUUUUGUUGGUUUCUAGGACCGCCGUAAUGAUUAAUAGGGACAGUCGGGGGCAUCAGUAUUCAAUUGUCAGAGGUGAAAUUCUUGGAUUUAUUGAAGACUAACUACUGCGAAAGCAUUUGCCAAGGAUGUUUUCAUUAAUCAGUGAACGAAAGUUAGGGGAUCGAAAACAAUCAAAUACCGUCGUAGUCUUAACCAUAAACUAUGCCACCUGGGGAUCGGACGGUGUUUCUAUUGGGACCCGUUCGGCACCCUACGAGA
rnacentral:rRNA from 1 species